GCCGGCGUGCUAUACAUGCAAGUCGAGCGGACAGAAGGGAGCUUGCUCCCGGAUGUUAGCGGCGGACGGGUGAGUAACACGUGGGUAACCUGCCUGUAAGACUGGGAUAACUCCGGGAAACCGGAGCUAAUACCGGAUAGUUCCUUGAACCGCAUGGUUCAAGGAUGAAAGACGGUUUCGGCUGUCACUUACAGAUGGACCCGCGGCGCAUUAGCUAGUUGGUGGGGUAAUGGCUCACCAAGGCGACAAUGCGUAGCCGACCUGAGAGGGUGAUCGGCCACACUGGGACUGAGACACGGCCCAGACUCCUACGGGAGGCAGCAGUAGGGAAUCUUCCGCAAUGGACGAAAGUCUGACGGAGCAACGCCGCGUGAGUGAUGAAGGUUUUCGGAUCGUAAAGCUCUGUUGUUAGGGAAGAACAAGUGCGAGAGUAACUGCUCGCACCUUGACGGUACCUAACCAGAAAGCCACGGCUAACUACGUGCCAGCAGCCGCGGUAAUACGUAGGUGGCAAGCGUUGUCCGGAAUUAUUGGGCGUAAAGGGCUCGCAGGCGGUUUCUUAAGUCUGAUGUGAAAGCCCCCGGCUCAACCGGGGAGGGUCAUUGGAAACUGGGAAACUUGAGUGC
rnacentral:rRNA from 1 species